rnacentral:rRNA from 1 species
GUGGGGAAUAUUGGACAAUGGGGGGAACCCUGAUCCAGCCAUGCCGCGUGUGUGAAGAAGGCCUUUUGGUUGUAAAGCACUUUAAGCGAGGAGGAGGCUACCGAGAUUAAUACUCUUGGAUAGUGGACGUUACUCGCAGAAUAAGCACCGGCUAACUCUAUGCCAGCAGCCGCGGUAAUACAGAGGGUGCAAGCGUUAAUCGGAUUUACUGGGCGUAAAGCGCGCGUAGGUGGCCAAUUAAGUCAAAUGUGAAAUCCCCGAGCUUAACUUGGGAAUUGCAUUCGAUACUGGUUGGCUAGAGUAUGGGAGAGGAUGGUAGAAUUCCAGGUGUAGCGGUGAAAUGCGUAGAGAUCUGGAGGAAUACCGAUGGCGAAGGCAGCCAUCUGGCCUAAUACUGACACUGAGGUGCGAAAGCAUGGGGAGCAAACAGGAUUAGAUACCCCGGUAGUCC